UACAGAGGGUGCGAACGUUGUUCGGAAUCACUGGGCAUAAAGCGCUCGUAGGCGGCACCGCAAGUGUGGGGUGAAAUCCCACGGCUUACCCGUGGAACUGCCUGGCAGACUGCGGUGCUAGAGGAUGGUAGGGGAGAGCGGAACUCUUGGUGGAGCGGUGAAAUGCGUAGAUAUCAGGAGGAACACCGAUAGCGAAGGCAGCUUGCUGGGACGGUACUGACGCUGAGACGCGAAAGCGUGGGGAGCAAACAGG
rnacentral:rRNA from 1 species